GACGAACGCUGGCGGCGUGCCUAAUACAUGCAAGUCGAACGCAGUGGGGACGGGUGAGUAACACGUGGGUAACCUCCCAUCAGAGGGGAUAACACUUGGAAACAGGUGCUAAACCGAUACUGAUGGAUGGACCCGCGGUGCAUUAGCUAGUGGGUGGGGGAACGGCUCACCAAGGCCACGAGGCAUAGCCGACGUGAGAGGAGUAGCGGCCACACUGGGACUUAGACACGGCCCAGCCGCCUACGCUAGGCAGCAGAAGGGAAUCUUGGGCAAUGGACGAAAGUCUGACCGAGCAACGCCGCGUGAGUGAAGAAGGUUUUCGGAUCGUAAAACUCUGUUGUUAGAGAAGCGGUAUCUAACCAGAAAGCCACGGCUAACUACGUGCCAGCAGCCGCGGUAAUUC
rnacentral:rRNA from 1 species